GACGAACGCUGGCGGCGUGCUUAACACAUGCAAGUCGAGCGGAAAGGCCCUUCGGGGUACUCGAGCGGCGAACGGGUGAGUAACACGUGAGUAACCUGCCCUGGACUUUGGGAUAACCCUCGGAAACGGGGGCUAAUACCGGAUACGACUUGGUCUCGCAUGGGAUCGGGUGGAAAGUUUUUCGGUCUGGGAUGGGCUCGCGGCCUAUCAGCUUGUUGGUGGGGUGAUGGCCUACCAAGGCGACGACGGGUAGCCGGCCUGAGAGGGCGACCGGCCACACUGGGACUGAGACACGGCCCAGACUCCUACGGGAGGCAGCAGUGGGGAAUAUUGCACAAUGGGCGGAAGCCUGAUGCAGCGACGCCGCGUGAGGGAUGACGGCCUU
rnacentral:rRNA from 1 species